rnacentral:misc_RNA from 1 species
GAUGAAGAACGUAGCGAAAUGCGAUAAGUAAUGCGAAUUGCAGAAUUCCGUGAGUCAUCGAAUCUUUGAACGCACAUUGCGCCCGUCAGUAUUCUGGCGGGCAUGCCUGUUCGAGCGUCAUUACGCCCCUCAAGUCCCCUGUGGACUUGGUGUUGGGGAUCGGCGAGGCUGGUUUUCCAGCACAGCCGUCCCUUAAAUUAAUUGGCGGUCUCGCCGUGGCCCUCCUCUGCGCAGUAGUAAAACACUCGCAACAGGAGCCCGGCGCGGUCCACUGCCGUAAAACCCCCCAACUUUUUAUAGUUGACCUCGAAUCAGGUAGGACUACCCGCUGAACUUAAGCAUAUCAAUAAGCGGAGGA